rnacentral:rRNA from 1 species
GACGAACGCUGGCGGCGUGCUUAACACAUGCAAGUCGAACGGAAAGGCCCUGUUCUUGUGGGGUGCUCGUGUGGCGAACGGGUGAGUAUCACGUGAGUAACCUGUCCUUGACUUUGGGAUAACACCAGGAAACAGGAGCUAAUAUAGGAUAUAAGAACCUGCUGCAUGGGGGGUGUGGGUGAGAUACGGAGGUUGGGGAUGUACACGCGGCUUAUCAGCUUGUUGGCGGGGUAGUGGCUUACCAAGGCAUCGACGGGUAGCCGGCCUGAGAGGGUGACAGGCCACAUUGGGACUGAGAUACGGCCCAGACUCCUACGGGAGGCAGCAGUGGAGAAUAUUGCACGAUGGGCGGAAGCCUGAUGCAGCGUCGCCGCGUGCGGGAUGACUGCCGUCGGGGUGUAAACCGCUUGCGCGUGUGACGCAGCGUGAGUGACGGUAAUGGGUAAAGAAGCACCGGCUAACUACGUG